rnacentral:tRNA from 1 species
GGCGGCGUAGCUCAGAGGUUAGAGCAGGGGAUUCAUAAGCCCAAGGUCGUCGGUUCAACUCCGACCGCCGCCA